AGCGAACGCUGGCGGCAGGCCUAACACAUGCAAGUCGAACGAAGUCUUCGGACUUAGUGGCGGACGGGUGAGUAACACGUGGGAACGUGCCUUUAGGUUCGGAAUAACUCAGGGAAACUUGUGCUAAUACCGAAUGUGCCCUUCGGGGGAAAGAUUUAUCGCCUUUAGAGCGGCCCUCGUCGGAUUAGCUAGUUGGUGAGGUAAAGGCUCACCAAGGCUACGAUCAGUAGCUGGUCUGAGAGGAUGACCAGCCACAUUGGGACUGCGACACGGCCCAAACUCCUACGGGAGGCAGCAGUGGGGAAUCUUGCGCAAUGGGCGAAAGCCUGACGCAGCCAUGCCGCGUGGACGAUGAAGGUCUUAGGAUUGUAAAAUCCUUUCACCGGUGAAGAUAAUGACUGUAGCCGGAGAAGAAGCCCCGGCUAACUUCGUGCCAGCAGCCGCAGUAAAAC
rnacentral:rRNA from 1 species